rnacentral:rRNA from 1 species
UACGUAGGGUGCAAGCGUUGUCCGGAAUUAUUGGGCGUAAAGAGCUCGUAGGCGGUCUGUCGCGUCUGCUGUGAAAACUCAGGGCUUAACCCUGAGCUUGCAGUGGGUACGGGCAGACUAGAGUGCGGUAGGGGAGACUGGAAUUCCUGGUGUAGCGGUGAAAUGCGCAGAUAUCAGGAGGAACACCGGUGGCGAAGGCGGGUCUCUGGGCCGUAACUGACGCUGAGGAGCGAAAGCGUGGGGAGCAAACAGG